UCAUACCCACUGAACCUGCGGAAGGAUCAUU
rnacentral:rRNA from 1 species